UACGGAGGGUGCGAGCGUUGUCCGGAAUUACUGGGCGUAAAGGGCGCGUAGGCGGUCUGUUAAGUGUGUGGUGAAAGCUCGGGGCUCAACUCCGAGUCUGCCAUGCGAACUGGUGGACUUGAGCACUGUAGAGGCAGGUGGAAUUCCGGGUGUAGCGGUGGAAUGCGUAGAGAUCCGGAAGAACACCGGUGGCGAAGGCGGCCUGCUGGGCAGUUGCUGACGCUGAGGCGCGACAGCGUGGGGAGCAAACAGG
rnacentral:rRNA from 1 species